GCUAUAGAAGCCGAAACACAGGCAUUGGUCUUGUAAGCCAAAAGGUGAAGUUUUUCCUAUAGCU
rnacentral:tRNA from 2 species